GAUGAAUGCUGGCGGCGUGCCUAAUACAUGCAAGUCGAGCGAAUGACGAGGAGCUUGCUCCCCUGAUUUAGCGGCGGACGGGUGAGUAACACGUGGGUAAUCUGCCUGUAAGACGGGGAUAACUCCGGGAAACCGGGGCUAAUACCGGAUAAUAAGAAGAAACGCAUGUUUCUUUUUUGAAAGUCGGUUUCGGCUGACACUUACAGAUGAGCCCGCGGCGCAUUAGCUAGUUGGUGAGGUAACGGCUCACCAAGGCGACGAUGCGUAGCCGACCUGAGAGGGUGAUCGGCCACACUGGGACUGAGACACGGCCCAGACUCCUACGGGCGGCAGCAGUAGGGAAUCUUCGGCAAUGGGCGAAAGCCUGACCGAGCAACGCCGCGUGAGCGAUGAAGGCCUUCGGGUCGUAAAGCUCUGUUGUUAGAGAAGAACAAGUACGAGAGUAACUGCUCGUACCUUGACGGUACCUAACCAGAAAGCCACGGCUAACUACGUGCCAGCCGCCGCGGUAAUAC
rnacentral:rRNA from 1 species